GGCAGCAGUCGAGAAAACUUCACAAUGUGCGAAAGCACGAUGAGGGAAUCCCAAGUGCUUGCACGUAAGUGUAAGCUGUUUCUCUGUCUAAAACGCAGAGAGAGUAAGGGCUGGGUAAGACGGGUGCCAGCCGCCGGCGGUAAUACCUGGCAGCUCGAGUGGUGACCGCUAUUAUUGGGGCCUAAAACGUCCGUAGCCGGUUUAAUAAAUGCCUGGGUAAAUCGGACCGCUUAACGGUUCGAAUUCCGGGUAGACUGUUAAACUUGAGACCGGGAGAAGUUAGAGGUACUCCUGGGGUAGAGGUGAAAUUCUGUAAUCCUAGGGGGACCACCAGUGGCGAAGGCGUCUAACUAGAACGGGUCUGACGGUGAGGGACGAAGCCCUGGGGCGC
rnacentral:rRNA from 1 species